AAGUUCUGUGUUCUCUUGUAGGUUAUCUCCAAGGAUGGAGUCCACCCUCAACCUUUAUUAUGGCACGAGAAGACAGCUGUUGCUGAACACAGAUAUUCUAGAAGGUGCAUACCCCACAAUUCUGUAUCAGGACCUCGUUUGGCAAAAUUGGCUCAUCAGCUUGUAUCAGAAAACUGUUUCCUGAAGCACCAAGUGAAUGGAGAUGGUGGCAAUGAUAGCCACAGUAAGAAACGAAAGAAGAAGCGUAGUGCUGAUAGAAAGAAGCGUACCGGUGCUGAAAGAAAGAAGCGGAAGAAGCAAAGACAAGAUACAGUAGUGUGCUAGCUUCGUUGGAACCACCACGCAUUACGCCAAGACUUUCCUUGAUGAUUAUUGGUGUCAACUUGUAGUUAACGUUGAGUGUCAUUGCUUAUUGCAUCAAAUUAGGAUAGAGGCCUCGGCAGGAUGAUGAGGAGGGCCUAAAUACGAGGCUGAUCUCCACGUAGAUCUGGUGACACGAGAAAUCCCACAAAAGUGCGAAGGGUGUAAUAACUUAUAGCUCCUAAUUCAUUGUCAUUCUACUUUUCCUUUUCAAUCUUAUUUAUUCUUCUGUAACUUGCAUAUGCUUAUAAGUUCCAAAUUUUGAUUCUAAAUUAUUCAUCAUUAGUUGUAAGAUCAUUCUGCUGCCUUUAGGAAAAGAUGUUUUGCCAAAUUCUUGUUUUACGAUCCUUA